rnacentral:lncRNA from 1 species
UGGCUGAAUGAAUUGCUUCGUCACAGUCCUUGCAAAAGAGAGCUCUAUCCUCAACACAGAAGAUGAAGGCUGCUUUAUCCUGCAUACAUGAUAGUUCAAGGUAUAUGUAAGCAAUAAUGAAAUCUCCCAAAAGCGGUCACAAAAUUUCUGAAAGAACAUUGAUCUUUUACUUUCAAUCUUUUUUCCCGGGUUUACAUCAUUUUGACAGGUAUAACUGUGUACAGAAAGAUCUCUUCUAGUUCUUGCUUCUCAGCGCCUUCCAAAUUAGAAUUAUCACUCGACUUACAUAUGCAUAUUCCUAUUCAAAGAUAAGGUAUAACUAGGCAUCUGCAAUAAGAUAGAUGUCGAAUUCCAUUUGAGGUUUCUGGUCCUUAAAAGGGUCGACACCAUCAUAGGUCACACUGUCAACAGAUUUUUAUUUUCAGUUAAAAACAUAAACCUUUUGUUUCCAACUUUGAAACUCGGUGGAUAACAAGUCCUCUCAUCUAUUUUAACCCACGUAAACACUAGGCUUAGCUUCCUAAAUCCUAGUGGAGCACAAACUUGUGGCGUGCGCCUAUUACACAUUCUGUGUUGUACUACCUUUGAUGUUGAUUGUUGAACCAAAUCCCUCUGACAAUUGAAAACAGGAACUACCCAAUAGCCAUGAAACCAUUUCACUCUGUCCAAUCCACACCUAAAACUUUUUCUUGUUUGUGAUACACUUAAAAGUUAUGGCACGAGAUUUAAGUUAUACGGUCUGGAAAGCCUCCAUCGCUCCCUCAUUAUCUUUUUUCUUUGGCAAGAAUUUCAUUAUCAUACUCCUCCCGAUUCAUUUUGUGCCUAGUUUGACUAUCCAAGAAGUUCAAGAAAGUAAAGAGAGACUUUUGAAUCGUAUUACCUUAACUAAAGUGCUCUUAAACGUCACUUAUGAUAUAAGAGUCACUGCUAACUUUAAAAAAGUUGCUCUUUUUCUUUUGUAAAGAUACUAAAAGGGCAGUCCGGUGCACUAAAGCCCCGCUAUGCACAGGGUCCGGGGAAGGGGCCCACACAAGGGUGUAUUGUACGCGGUCUUACUUUGCAUUUAUGCAAGAGGCUGUUUUCAAGGCUUGAACCCGUGACCUCACGGUCACAUGACAACAACUUUACUAAAACACAUAAAUUACAACGGAGGAAGUAAUAAAUACUAUGGAUAGAAGUGCAAAAUUAAUGGUCAUGUGAAAUGUUGCUAGUUCCUUAGCCUGUAAUAAAAUAAGCAAGAAGUCUAAUCAAAGGAACAUAUAAAGUAAAUUUCUCACUAAUCAAGUUACCAACUUAGCAGUACAAUUGACAUAAUAACACAAAAAAGGGGCUCCCUUACUUGGCAAAUAUCACAAGGAGGAAGCUUAUUGGAUAGGCACUGAAGAUGAAGCCUCUGAUGCUUACUUGCCAAUUUAUUAGCAGCAUGAACUUCUAUAUCACAUUUUGCACACAAAGCUGCCUCAUCUGCACAGCAAAUCACAGUAGCUUGUGCUUUCUCACACACAUCACACUGAAUCUUCAUCUCUUUUAC